GUUCUGGCUCCUUGGCAGCAAUGGCUGUAUUUGAAGAUAAGUUUAGGCCAGACAUGGAGGACAAAUGCACAGCUCUUCCAUGGUCACUGUCGCAGGAAUGUUGAAUAUGCCUGGAUCCAUCAUGGUACCACGUUACUCCUCCACGGCACUACAUCUGGCCGCUAAACCAGCAUUCAGCACAUAAGCUUUUUUGAUGGUUGUUAAUUUUUUGAUGGAGAGUAUCAACUUCUUUUCAACAAUUAAUAGGUAGUUUAUGAGUGGUUUACCCUAUUUCUUAGUAUGUAGGUUUUUGCCAUUUCUGACUUCGCAGUAUUGUUUAGGGACCAGAGGGUGUCUCUGGGAAUUGCUUUUUGACAGUGCCUUAUGUCCAGUCAUCUUUGGAAAAGAU
rnacentral:sRNA from 1 species